GGAAUUUUGAUAAGCUAACCUAAAAUAAAUAUGUUAUGGCAUUUAGUCAAGUAACAAUUGUUGCAAUUGUGACUGACAUUUAUAGAAUAUUUUCACUUUUCACAAUUCGUGAGCGUGAGUGAUCCAUCUCUUGUACGCAGAUAUAUAUAUAAAACUUUUAUUUUCGUUUUAUCUCGUACAAGUUAUUUUAUCCAAACAAUUGUUAGAUUAUAUAAAUUCCACGUUCAACCAGUAAUUGGAACGGUUAUCGAAAGUUUUAAGGAUAAAAAAAAACGUUAAUUCAAAAAUAAUGGAAGACAUUGCAAAAGAAUGUAGUUGCAUUGAAGAAUGUCACAGUAAAAGUAAAUACCCAGGCGUCUAUAUUAAAAGCGACUGUCGUAGCUUUGAAAAAAAUGUUAUAAGGCUUGACCGCUACGUGAAAUGCAGAUCCUACCUUAAAUCUAAUCCUCCGGAUGAACCAAAUAUAGAUUCCCAAUUGAAAUGGAUCACCUUUACUAUAUCAGUACUGAUCCAGCAGAUAUAUAUCAUAAAUUCACGUUUAGAAGAAUGUACUUAUGCCAAUCAGUUCGUCAAGAAUACGGAUUAUGGAAAAAAGUACAUGGAUUUCAGGGAAGAAAAUUCUGAAAUCGUGAAUAAAAUAAUGAGUAUAGGUGUGGAAAAUAUGGACAAUGUACAGAAAAAUGCUUCAUACUAUAUUGACACAUACUUACAGUAAUAAUAAUUAUUAUAAUUACCUACCUAAUACUAUCAUUCUAAUUAAUUUUGUAUUGAUAAAUUCUUGUAAUGAUUAUUAAUUAAGUAACGAAGUAAGAGAGAAUUCAAUUAUAUUAUCUACGAUAAUAAAUUUUUUAUUUUGACUAUUUGAAAUAGUAGCAAAAUUUGUCAGUACAACAAUAAUUCGCGCCCCUAAUACCAAAAUAUUAUUUGCCUCUUUGGUAUUCGAAUAGAGACAGCGAUAUUACUAUCUCUUUCUACCUUUAAUUAAUCAUUUGAAAAUUACUUACCGUAGUUAUACGGAUAAAAUGCCGUAAAUUAAGGUAAUUACCGCAAUUCGGAUCCACUAGGGUACCAACUAGUUUGUAGGGUAGAGUUUCUACAACCCUUACAAAAAACUUCACCGUCACAUUCCGAGUUUAGUUGAAGCAAAAAUUAAUUACAAAUUACUUAUUUUAACGAAAGAUCGAUGGCACGUUAAAUAAAUUAUUUAAUAGCAAUAAUAAAAUUUAUUUAAUUAAAGUGCUUUAAUUAUUAUCAUUAUGAUUUUAAAAUGCAAGUGGUUGCUGUUCAAAAGCUUCUACAAUAUAAUUCUCUGUAAUGAGCGACAAAAAUAAUUUUAUAUUUAUAUCAUAUAUAUAUUUUUAAAUC